rnacentral:rRNA from 1 species
GACGAACGCUGGCGGCGCGCCUAACACAUGCAAGUCGAACGAGCGAGAGAGAGCUUGCUUUCUCGAGCGAGUGGCGAACGGGUGAGUAACGCGUGAGGAACCUGCCUCAAAGAGGGGGACAACAGUUGGAAACGACUGCUAAUACCGCAUAAGCCCACGGGUCGGCAUCGACCAGAGGGAAAAGGAGCAAUCCGCUUUGAGAUGGCCUCGCGUCCGAUUAGCUAGUUGGUGAGGUAACGGCCCACCAAGGCGACGAUCGGUAGCCGGACUGAGAGGUUGAACGGCCACAUUGGGACUGAGACACGGCCCAGACUCCUACGGGAGGCAGCAGUGGGGAAUAUUGCACAAUGGGGGAAACCCUGAUGCAGCGACGCCGCGUGGAGGAAGAAGGUCUUCGGAUUGUAAACUCCUGUUGUUGAGGAAGAUAAUGACGGUACUCAACAAGGAAGUGACGGCUAACUACGUGCCAGCAGCCGCGGUAAAACGUAGGUCACAAGCGUUGUCCGGAAUUACUGGGUGUAAAGGGAGCGCAGGCGGGAAGACAAGUUGGAAGUGAAAUCUAUGGGCUCAACCCAUAAACUGCUUUCAAAACUGUUUUUCUUGAGUAGUGCAGAGGUAGGCGGAAUUCCCGGUGUAGCGGUGGAAUGCGUAGAUAUCGGGAGGAACACCAGUGGCGAAGGCGGCCUACUGGGCACCAACUGACGCUGAGGCUCGAAAGUGUGGGUAGCAAACAGGAUUAGAUACCCUGGUAGUCCACACCGUAAACGAUGAUUACUAGGUGUUGGAGGAUUGACCCCUUCAGUGCCGCAGUUAACACAAUAAGUAAUCCACCUGGGUAGUACGACCGCAAGGUUGAAACUCAAAGGAAUUGACGGGGGCCCGCACAAGCAGUGGAGUAUGUGGUUUAAUUCGACGCAACGCGAAGAACCUUACCAAGUCUUGACAUCUCUUGACGAACAUAGAAAUAUGUUUUCUCUUCGGAGCAAGGAGACAGGUGGUGCAUGGUUGUCGUCAGCUCGUGUCGUGAGACGUUGGGUUAAGUCCCGCAACGAGCGCAACCCUUACUGUCAGUUACUACGCAAGAGGACUCUGGCAGGACUGCCGUUGACAAAACGGAGGAAGGUGGGGAUGACGUCAAAUCAUCAUGCCCUUUAUGACUUGGGCUACACACGUACUACAAUGGCGUUAAACAAAGAGAAGCAAGACCGCGAGGUGGAGCAAAACUCAGAAACAACGUCCCAGUUCGGACUGCAGGCUGCAACUCGCCUGCACGAAGUCGGAAUUGCUAGUAAUCGUGGAAUCAGCAUGCCACGGUGAAUACGUUCCCGGGCCUU